rnacentral:rRNA from 1 species
GACGAACGCUGGCGGCGUGCUUAACACAUGCAAGUCGAGCGGUAAGGCCCUUCGGGGUACACGAGCGGCGAACGGGUGAGUAACACGUGAGCAACCUGCCCCUGACUCCGGGAUAAGCGGUGGAAACGCCGUCUAAUACCGGAUACGACACGCCACCUCCUGGUGGCGGGUGGAAAGUUUUAUCGGUCAGGGAUGGGCUCGCGGCCUAUGAGCUUGUUGGUGGGGUAACGGCCUACCAAGGCGAUUACGGGUAGGCGGCCUGAGAGGGCGACCGGCCACGCUGGAGCUGAGACACGGCCCAGGCUCCUGCGGGAGGCAGCAGUGGGGAAGAUUUCGCAAUGGGCGAAAGCCUGACGCAGCGACGCCGCGUGGGGGAUGACGGCCUUCGGGUUGUAAACCUCUUUUACCACCAACGCAGGCUCCCGGUUCUCCGGGGGUUGACGGUAGGUGGGGAAUAAGGACCGGCUAACUACGUGCCAGCCGCCGCCGUAA